rnacentral:rRNA from 1 species
GUAGGUGGCAAGCGUUGUCCGGAAUUAUUGGGCGUAAAGCGCGCGCAGGUGGUUCUUUAAGUCUGAUGUGAAAGCCCCCGGGCUCAACCGGGGAGGGUCAUUGGAAACUGGGGAACUUGAGUGCAGGAGAGGAAAGUGGAAUUCCACGUGUAGCGGUGAAAUGCGUAGAUAUGUGGAGGAACACCAGUGGCGAAGGCGACUUUCUGGCCUGUAACUGACACUGAGGCGCGAAAGCGUGGGGAGCAAACAGGAUUAGAUACCCUGGUAGUCCACGCUGUAAACGAUGAGUGCUAAGUGUUGGGGGGUUUCCGCCCCUCAGUGCUGCAGCUAACGCAUUAAGCACUCCGCCUGGGGAGUACGGUCGCAAGACUG